rnacentral:rRNA from 1 species
UUACGGGAGGCAGCAGUGAGGAAUAUUGGGCAAUGCCCGGAAGGGUGACCCAGCAACGCCGCGUGGAGGAUGAAAGCCGUAAGGUUGUAAACUCCUGUUAGAGGGGACGAAUAGUUCCGGUAGCACCGGAAUUUGACUGUACCCUCAGAGAAAGCCCCGGCUAACUACGUGCCAGCAGCCGCGGUAAUACGUAGGGGGCAAGCGUUGUCCGGAUUUACUGGGUGUAAAGGGCGCGCAGGCGGAUUGAUAAGUCAGAGGUGAAAUCCUGCAGCUUAACUGCAGAACUGCCUUUGAAACUGUCAAUCUUGAGUACGGAAGAGAGAGACGGAAUUCCAGGUGUAGUGGUGAAAUACGUAGAUAUCUGGAAGAACACCAGUUGCGAAGGCGGUCUCUUGGUCCGUUACUGACGCUCAGGCGCGAAAGCGUGGGUAGCAAACAGGAUUAGAUACCCCCGUAU